ensembl:lncRNA
AUCCAGCUGAACCAGAAGUUUGUACACAGGAGCAGCUACAGCAGUUGGUUCUCUCAGCUACCAGUCCAGUAUCUUCUGCAGGAGGUCAUCCCAUCUCAUGCACUGUAACAUCUUUUCCAACUCCACAUUUACCUUGUUUGUGAGGCUUUAUGAGGCUGGUAAAUUUAAUCUAAGCUCUAAUGAUUCUCCCAGUUAAUCAUCAGCUGAGAGGAACUGAUGGUCCCAGGUUGUGUGCUGAGGAAAACUCCUCAGCACACCCAAAGCAGCUAUUACUGGAGCAAUAAAGCAUAUCCUCUUGUGUCUCAGUGUUUUAUUAAUAAGUACUGCAACUUACCUAUACAAUUAAAAGUUACAUGACCAGCUUUUUUCUUUGGCCCUCCCCUCCCAUGUAGAGGAACUCACUCUUUCAGAUGUACUAUUCUAUGCUGCUCCCACUGUUUUAUGCCAUCAAAUCCAAUGUCCCACUGUACUUCUCACUACACGUACUAUCCAGGUGGUCCAUGCUAGAAAAAAGCAGCUGAAGCUCUGUACGGUCAGAAACACCCCUGAUUCAAGAAGCAAGUUCUACUCAAAUUGUAAUUUACAACUUUAAAUAUAUUUCCUAGAAAAUAAAAGCAAAGAAUAUUGCCUCUUGCUAAUUUCAGAUAGACUUUGAAACAUCUCCCUCUUGUCUUCCCCUAGUGCAAGUUUUUGGGUUUUUUUCCCCCCCCCCUUAUAAAACUUCCAUCUUGAUAUUGUGUAAUGGGAAUUAAGGUGAACAUACAAGAUAGAUCAGGCCAAACAACAGCCCAUCUAACAGCAAAAAGGCUGACCAUAUUCAACCAUGGUUCUACACCUUCUACACCACCUCCCAGGAAUUUAAAAGGUUACAUGCACUGAUUUGUACAGACUGGAGUCACUCCAGCUAUUAGAGGAAAAAGAAAUGAAAGUUUGUCUUCCAGACUUUACCAACUGUGAAUAUAAUUCCCAUCACCAAGUCACACUUUGUGGUUGAAUAACGAAAUCUCUCACCCCUCAGUAAACUGCUCAUGUUGCACAAGUGGGCUCCAACACAGAACUUGCUGUUGGAACUACUUCUAUCAUCAUUUGUGCUGGCUGUUCUCGAAGUCAAUUACGAUAUGCCAUUCAGGAACAGCCAUGGGUAAUAUGUUUGUCUUUGUACUAUUUUUGUCACUUCUAUUUUUAAAAAUCAAUUAAAGCUGUUGAGACUCAGAAAAGCAAUAAAAUGACACUGUCUAGCAGAAGGAGAAGACUGAUAGAAAACCUAUCGCUAGUGCAGCUGUGCAAUCAGCUUGAACAUAGGCUAAAAGAACAGCCACAGAACAGAUGAGCUAGGCAGAACUUCACUCAUGCAGUAUGAAAGGAGCUCAGGAAAUUUUAGACGCUGAUGAAAAGGACAGGUUGAAGAUAGAAAGCAUGAUUUUCUUCUGUUAUUGUUCCAAACUGAGCCUCAGCUGGCCCACUUCUUCCAGUAUCCUCAGAUAUAUCUGUACUGCAAACUUGUUAUUCUUAUGGGUUGCUUUUUUUGUGUGUGUUCUGUUUAAUUGCUCUCCUGUGAUUUUCCUUAUCCUCACAAAUCCCCUUUCAUGCCUUUCCAUGCCUUUUGAGUCUGCAUUUAAAAUCUUGGAGUUGGUUAGACAGCUGCUUCACAAAAUCAUUUCUUUUCCCAGUUUGGUAUUCUGAUAGUGUCAAUAAAGAGCAUCUAAG